UCCAUCCAGAACCUGAGUGCUGGGGAGCAGGGACUUUGCACCCUGUUGUCCCAUUCACUUGCAGACCCACUUUAUUCCAAUUACAAAAGGAAAACCGGUAUUUAAAUCCUUUUCCCACUUUACAGGCUCUGGGAAGGCCAGACAGGAACAGCAGGGGCAACUUGUGUUGAAUUCGCAGCAACUUUUCCCCCAAGAUGUUCUUCACAGCAGCACUAAAUUAGCACUAAAUUAGCUUUCCCUUAAUCUAGCAACAAGUAAAGAAGCUUUCUGCAAAAAGAAAUAUAUAUGAAUAAAUAAAUCAAUCAAAACAUCAGAGCUCUGCUUUGAGUUCAGGGCUGACUUCUCCAUCUUGCCCAAAUGACUUAGGAGCACAAGCCCUCCUAGUAACAGAUUUGCAUAGACAUUUACAUGCUGUGAUAUCCAGGACCGAUGGAGUGUCCCCAUCUUGCUGUGGCCCUCCCUGCCACCUUCACCACAACAGCAGAUGCCUGCAGGUGCUCCAGCUGCAAGGUUUCCGUGGCGCUGCAGCCGCGACCUUGGGUCUUUAUUGGCUCUCCGAAUGGACCCUUUAUAGACUCCAGAUGGAAAGUAUAAAAUUAAUAACCCCUGGCUGGCAAACACCCAUAUGUUUUCCACCUUCUCCUGAGAUACAAUUUGUUUAUGGUGACAUUUAUUUAAUGCAAAUUAACAUAUAAAUGAAGAUGCAUGGCUCUUCCCAGAGACCUGAGGAAACUGGUUUGUGUGGUGCUAGAGGUGCACGGCCACAUCAACCACCCACCAGAAAGGCUCCUUUGGAAUUACCUGGAGCCUUUUUGAUUCUCUCCAGCCAGGAGGAAUUCCACCAGCCUCCCUCCAGGCCCAUUUUCUUUAACAAUAUAUUCCAGGCUGACCCUGGAGGUGCUAAUUGCUCUUUAUCUAAGACAACUGUUUCUCCCACCCCACCAGUGCUUUUGGUGGUCGAAGGAAUACAAUGCAUUAUCAGGAAACGAGAUACAUGUGUACAAAGGGUAUUGACUGGCGGGAGGUUAAAGAUACAGCACAAAGAGAGGCAGCCUUACAGGGGUACCCUGUUAACUAGUGAUGGAUGAGCCACUGGAAGAAGAAAGCUCUCCAAGGUUGGGCUGAUAAGACCCCAGCCACUUGGUGCCUCCCCAAGGUGCCACGACCAGGACCAACCUCUACACCUAUCCCUGGCUCCGGCCUCCUUCUCCUCCUUUUCUUCCUCCUCCUCCCAGCAGACAACCCAGGACAGGCCAAACUUGGCACGGAAAACCCUUCCACAAAGCCACCCCUGCGUCCCGUUUGUCCGCCAACGACCUUAGUUAAACCGGCGCAAGUUUCUUAAUUCCACGCCAGCCUAAGCCUUUAAAAACUGUUGACUUUCCAGAAAAGCAGGAAGUGGGUAAACACAGCGAUUGGCUGCUCUUCCUGCUGACCACAUGUCACCAGAAUGCAGGGGAAAAAAAAAAAUUCUAUUAGGCUUUUAUUUAACAUGAAUUUGAAUGUAUUCCAGGUCACUGAUCACAUAAGCGAUCACGAUACGGGUAAUAAAGAAGUUCCUACCAUACCUUUAUUUGCUUUCUCCCUGUAAUAAAUCUUUAUCACACACUGGGCUGAUUGCAACAGUAUCACUUCCUUUUUUUUUUUAUUUUUUUUUUCCCUCCUGUUUUAUAGGGCAGCAAAAAGCCAACUGGGCCCAUCUGCAAGCACACCCAAUGGCGCUGGGAUGGGAUGGCAAACAAAAGGCAGCCAGGGCAGCCACACUGCUGCCUUGAAGAACCAAGGGUUGACUUCCCUGGGUGCAGACCCCAACCUUCACAUGCUGCAAAACCCCAUGCAUGAUCCUUUGUGACUGCAGGAAAAGGGGGAAUCGUAGCGUGGCACUGAGGGACGUGGUUAGUUGGAUAGUGGGUGCAGUGUGGACGGGUUGAUGGUUGGACUUGGGGAUCCUUGUGGUCUUUUCCAACCUGCGUGAUUCCAUGACUGUGUCAUAGUAGGAAAUAUCAACCUGUGUGCUUUCUUAGUAAGUGAUCAUUAAGACGGUUUAAUAAACGAUCCAAGUGACAGCCCUAUGCUAGAACAGCCUCGAAUCAAACCAUUCUGCACAGGGAAGAAUUUUUGCUCCCUGUAAACCAAAAGUAAUGGGUCAAAGGGAAAUGAAUCCUGAGCAGUUCCCUGCACUUCUGAGCAUUUGGUGUUCUGGACCCCAUUCUCCCUCGUACCCUCAUGCUUAAUCCUCCUCAUUUGAAUGAUUUGCAUCCAAAUCUCUCCAUUUUUGUCCUUUCAUUCUCGAGCACACGAUGUUAGUUCCCGCUAAUACAAGGGCAUCAAUCGCCUUCAUCUUCUCCUAUUUAAUGAUAUUUAUUCAUCAUCGCAUGGGAGAGAAAUUGGCUGCAGCUCAAUUUGGCAAAAUAAAUUGGGACCAGUUCAAGCGUAAUCUCGCUAAACACACAGAUUUUAAUCCCCCCCCCCAAGUGAAGCACACUGCAUCUGCAAUGGAUGUCCUUGGUUCAAGAUCCAGAUGCUGAUUUCAAACUCCAGAAUCUCCCACUGCUUGCAGAGCUCACUUUGUGAGGACCAGGGACUACGUAAAUUCAGAACAGCUCCAGCACAGCUUUGCUCCUGUUGUCCUUAAUUGCUUGAAUACUGAGCAGGUUGAUAUUGUGAUUAUUUGUAGACAUUUAUACCAUCCCAGGCCUUCUUCUUUAUAACUUUAUUUCAUUUUCUGCUGUUUACUCACAACUACCUUUAUCACCGCACGCUGAUAGUCUGUUCUUUAUUGCCCCGGUGUGAUUGCAAGGAGUUUGAGCACAACCCAAUAACACACAUAUAUAAAUAUUUGAACAGGAAAAGAAAGUCUGUCUCAUUCAGGCUAUGGAAGGAGGGAAAAAUGAAAACAAAUAAUACCGCUAGAGGGACCUUCACACUGAACCACGGUGGAGGAGAGGUCACACACAGCCUCCACGAGUGGCACCGAUGGGACCCGCGGUGUCGGCAUGGAGCUUGCAAGCAGCAGCACCGCAUGCAUGCAGGGCUCGUUGUUUGCCGAGGAUCACCCGAAUAAUUCCACUUGAGCACAACAAACGUGUUUUGUUUUUGCAGUUAAAGAGCUGAGUCCUUUUAAUUAGUUGACUCGGGCCUUUCUGCAUGCGGUCCCCACGCACUGUGGCUGGUUCAAAGAGGAGCCUCUCUGUGUGUUUUCGCUUUUCUUCUCUUUUCUUUCUCCCCUUUAACACUGCGUGUGAAUAGUUGAAGACGGGAGCGAAAGACAUUGGACUUAGAAAGUAAAAUCUCCAGGAAGCAAAAAUGGAGGCAAACACAGGAGCUAAUUUAGGCAGGCAUAGCUGGUGUUGUUUGUGGUUGUCCCUGACAGCGCUGCUGACUCUAAAGCACCUGUGUUUGCUCACUAGCUUUCCCCAAUCUGCUAGAAAAUGGCCCUAGCAUGUCACAUGGCAGCGAGAUAGUCCGAGCGCCAUGGGAAUAAAAAAGCCUGAGCUUUUAACGGAGUUAAUCAUUAAUGCGCCUUUUCUUUGUCCCAUUCAGGAGUGCUGACAAGCGCUUUGAUAUUUCAUAUUUGCCAUCAGGUCAGCGGCAGUCAUACCCAGGUACUAAUGAGCGCCCUGGCUCACGCCUCCCUGUUUCAUGGCCCGCCUGAAGAUUUCGUCCCACUUGCCCUCAACCACAGCUACACGCAUAUAUAUCCCUGUCUAUAUGUGUGUGCAUGUCCCUGCUUCCAUGUCUGAAUGCAUCCCUGCAUAUAUGCACAUAGGCAUCCCUGUGUGCACACCCGAGCAACACCCAUGGGUGCAGCGCAUGCUCAGGAGAUCCCAGUUCAGGCACUUUUAUCCCCUCCUGUAGACAAAACCCAGGGCUCCCAGCUCCAGAUCCAAGCCCUGUGCUCCAUAUUGGGCAUCUCAAUGCAAUGCUUUGUAUCCACGAGCAGCUGUCAAUGCGUGCGCGCACUUCGGGGUUGAGCAAAUAAUCCCCAGUGAAUAAUGUAUGUGCGGGGAGGAAUGCAGGCUGCACUACUCGCCCCCAGUCCUGGCUGCCAGCAGCGUGUUUUCUGCAUCGUGCUUCUUCUCCCAGUUUGUUUGCCCUGAUGCACCCAGGUUUCCCUGUUCAUUGCAGGGGAAUUAGACUAGGUGACCUUUGAAGGUUUCUUCCAACUCCAACAAUUCUAUGAUUCUUUGGUUCUAUGGUUCUGAUUCCAUGAUUCUAUGGGUCUGUGAGCCUAUGGUUCUACGAUUCCAUGAUUCUAUGAUUCUACGGUUCUAUGAUUCUAUGAUUCUAGGGGUCUAUGAAUCCAUGAUUCUAGGGGUCUAUGAUUCUGUGGGUCUAUGAUUCUGUGGAUCUAUGAUUCCAUGAUUCCAGGGGUCUAUGUUACUAUGAUCCUAUGAUGCCACGAUUCUAUGAUUCUAUGUGUCCAUGGUUCUAUGACUCUAGAUGCACUGCUUGGGAACCAGUUGUAUGAAGGCAUGAUUACAAAGGAGACUGAGAAUGCUCGUCCUCCCUAAGAGCAGCAAGGCACUGCUAUUCUGUUGUCUGGCUUGGCCAAUAAAUGCAGUUGUUUGUGCCAGCACUGAGUAGAAAAACCUAUCCCUCAGCGUAAAGGCCAGGCAGGUCAGCAGGCCUCCAUAAAGCUGCUGUGCAAAGAUGAUUUGUGCUGGCUUCAACGAGAAUCACAGUCAAACUUCAAGGUGCUUGAACCUUUCCCUUGACUCGGGCAGAGACUGACAGCACAUUUCACUCCUCCUCGCCGGGGUUGGAUGCUGACAGAAUUGCAUCAGUGAGCUCACCGAGGGGACCUCCUGUCUGUGUUCAUGUAGUGUGGGGAGGAAAACAUGGCUGGAGCUGCCGAUGCUGCCAGCACAGCAGGGAGGUGCAGCCAGGCAUCGCAGAAGGUUGCACAAACCUGGGCUUCCUUCAGCAUCCCUCUGGGUUGGAAGUGUGUGCAGCGUGAAAUUAAUGAGCUAUUCAUAGAACCAUCAUAGAGUCAUAGAAUCAUGAAGGUGGAAAAGAUAACCGAGUCCAACCACAGCUCACCCCCACCGUGCCCACUGACCACGUCCUGCAGUGCCACAUCCCCACAGCUUUGGGAUGCCUCCAGGGACGGUGACCCCACCACUCCCUGGGCAGCUGUGCCACUGCCUCACCGCUCUUUCAGGAAAUAAACUGUUCCUAUCAGCCAACCUGAAUUCAGCCCUAAGCUUUUCAGUCUCCUUUUGCUGAGAUAUGGUGACUGAGCCACUUGGCUCCAUACUCCUCUUAGAUUAAAGAGGGAACUGCCAAAAAUGUCACAGAUUUCAGAGGCCGGCUAGUGGUGACUCACCCAGAUAACGCUCUCAAGGACGUAUAGGGAGCCCGGAACCGUAGUAUCAUGCGACAGAGCCACAUCUGGAGAAAUGGCCAAGGUCACCCCACCACUGGCUCGGGCCCCCACAGUGCCAGGAUCCAUCCCGGAGAAGCAUCUUCUCAAAUAUCCUCGAGGCAGAGAUAGCACUUCUGUCCGCUCCCGAGUCUACUGAAGCGUAACGCAGCCAGGCAAGGGAGAGCCUCGAUCUCUGUAUUGCUUGUGCAACGGUGUGAGUUUAAAACCUGUCGGAACAUGGUCCUGCCCCAGCUGUUCUUGCACUGACCGUGCAGGCAGAUGGCUGGCAGCAGCAAAGCUCCGGCUGCAGAAAUCCGUAAGGUAAAUCGCACGUCGAGGGCUUUCUUGCCGCCUGCUUUGCAAAGAGCAGGGCCCGUUCGGGUGAAAGCAGGAAGGCGUUCUGAACUCCCGGCCCUGGCAAGUGGGAGCUGAGCCGGUGUCCCCCCCCCCGCCCUCGCCCAUCCCCGGGGCUACCUGCAAGUUGCCGGCCUCGCCCGGCUGCUCCGCCCGGUCCCUGCCCUGUCCGGCACGGGGGGAGGUCAGAGCUGGGGGUGGAAGGGUAAAAAAUGGGGAGGGAAAAAGGGGAGGGAGAAGAGGGGAAAGGGGAAAAAGUUGGGGGGAAGGGGGGAAAAUAAAGAAUAAAUAGGAAAGGAGUGAGAAAUGGAAGGAAUGGAGGAAAAAAAGGGGGGGAGGGGAAAGGAAAGAGGGAAUGAAAGGAAAAGCGUGGCGAAGAAAUGGAGGAAAAAAGGAGAGAGAAAGAAAGGAAAAGAAAAUGAAAGAAAGGAAAAUAAAGGGGAGAAAAGAGGGGAGGGGCAAGGAAGAAAUAAAAGAACAACAGAUGAUAAGAGAGACAGAAAAGGAAAGCAUGAAAAAGAAAAGGGAAAAGCAUUCCCAGUGACAGAAGCGCUGCCCGCCCCGUUCGCUGCCCCGCGCUGCCCCAGGCGGGCAGCAGCCCCCGGCCCACACUCCUGCCUCGGGCACGCGUGGGAGAGCGGCCAGCCGGGCUGGGGCGGCGCGGGACCUCCAGGACCCCCCCCCACCGUCUCAUAUAUAUAACUUUGUUGUUGUUGUUGUUAAUUCAAUUUCACACCCAGCUGCACCUGCAAACGUAACACCCACCCCUCGUUCCAAUCCUCCAUCCAUCCUUCCGUCCUUCCGUCCACCUCUCCAUCCAUCCACCACCCCGGAGCCGCACCCCACGCUGGCCGCGGUUCUUCUCCAUCCUCCCGUCCCGAUUCGCAUCCCUGCGCCUGCCGCCCUUUCACUUAGGGCCGGGUUCUGUGCCUCUCUGGGCGUCGCGUCCCCCCUUGGUUCUCCAUAUCCCCCACCCUGGGGGGAAACCACCCCAUUCUCCUGGCCCUCCCCGUCUCAGAACCGUCGCAGUUUCCACGCGUUGCGAUUUAAUAGGAAAUAAACAUCAAACCCAUCGGCCCGGCCGGGGCUGCGGGAAAACUCGGGGCACUCUAUUUUAUUAUUUUUUCUUGCUUAUUUUUAUCCUUCCCCCAUUAAAAAGAAAUAGGGAAGAGAUUCCUCUCGCCCAGAGCCACCCCCCCUCCCCCGGGUUCCGUCAGAGAGGGGAAAUAUUUCGCUGAGAGACGACCGCAGCGAGAGAGCAAAAAAAUAAACCCCAAUCCGCUCCCGCCGACACCCAAAGCCCCGUUUUUAGCUGUCCCGUAAAUAAGGAGCCGGCAGACUCUGCAUCAUCCUUCGCUAUUUACUCUUUUGAAGGUUAGGCAGGGCAGAGGUAACAAACUUUUGAACGAUUUUCCUCCUCCCCUUUUCCAUCCUCUUCCCUACCUGGUUUUAUGUGGUUUCUGGAUUAAUCUAGUGUGGAGCAGAAGCGGACUUUCCCCGGCCGAAAUAUAGGAUUAGGACUAUUUCUAGAAGAAAGAGGAUAGUGUCAACUGCCUUUAGCCUGCAAUAGUCUAAAGCAGAAUUACAGCUUGUAAAAUAGGUCUCCAUCAGUUUCCCAGGAGACGAGUUAAGCCCUACUUGGGUGUUCCAGCUCUUUUUAGAACCAGCAAUAAUUAGACUCAUCUCACCCUGAGCUGUCCGGUUUUUUUAGGAUCCCCACCGACCGCUUUUGCAUACAAUCCUGCCGGGGCCGCCUGCCCGCACCGCUCGGCAGCAGAAACCUUCGGGGCGGUUCGGGGCAGGAGACGUCCCUUUGGCAAGCGGGGCAGCGCGGCUCUCCUGCCCGACGUGCCAUUCCCUUGCGCUUUGAUGUCCGCUGCCUUUGAGCCAUCUCUGCAUGUCAUUAGGGGCCCGGACAAUUAAAGAAGUGCCUUCGCACCCCCCCUCUCCCAACCCCUCCCCGCAGCGGAGGGGAAGUCGGAAAAAAAUAAAUACAUCGGCCAACACGGCGAGCCGAUGCGGGGCUGAGUUCGCCUUCGGAUCGCGGCCGUGAGAUGGGAAAGUCGCCCGCAGGGGAGCGGGAGGAGCCGCGACGGUGACAGCGACAGUGACUGCCGGUCCGGCCGCUCGCCGCCGGCUUUGGUGGCGGAUUGGGUGGGGAGUCCUUCUGCCGCCCGGGUACGCGGCUCCGUCCUCGGGGCGGUCGGAUGCCGCUCGGUCUCCCCGAAAGUCAAAUAAUAAAAAAAAAAAAAAUAGAAAUUUAAAAUAAUAAUAAUAAUUAAAAAAUCGAUCUGUGGGAAUGAAGGGCGGAAGCGGAGCUUAACGCGCUGCUCUUUCUGAGGGGCUGGUAGAGGGGAAAUGCGGCUGGGAGGGUUCGGAGGAGGCUGGGGAUGCUCGGGUGUAGAAAUAGGCUAUCUAUCUAUCUACCUGUAUCUAUUAAUAGCGAUACCAUACAAAUAACGAGUAGAGGAAGGUCGCGGAGUGCAGCCCCGCUCCCGCCGGGCUGGGGCUGCCCGUGGCCGGGAGGUGAGCCUCUCCCGGGCCGUUCCCACGCGUGUCCCCUCCCCGCACGGCGACACGAGUUCGGUGGCAGGUCAUUGGCGAGUGCUGUCCCCGAGAGCCCGUCACUGCCGGGCACCCGCUCGGUCGGAAGCAGGGACCUGGCACGGGGACGGGGACACGCGUGCACAACCCGCCCCCGGUCUCCGUGGGCCUCGAGAGACGUCUCCUUCCCGAGUCCCCGCGUGUGCGAUGCCACUCGUGUUCGUGCCCAGCGGCCGAGCCCCGGCCCCGUUAAACGCUCGUUUUCCUCUUUUUCACCGUGUUGCCAACGAGAAAAUGAGGAUGGGGUCUUUUUCCCUCCUGUUCUUGCCCACGCGGGGACGGGGCACUGCCUGUGGUACCGGCAGCGGCGCUUCCCCGUGACACGGACACGGGAGAAAUGCCGCUCGGAGAGAGGAACGAAAAAGCGCCGCGGAGCCGGGGAGGACAACGGAAUAACGCGCAAAAAGAGGGGGGAAACAAAAAAAGGAAAGGAAAACAAACAAACAAACAACAACAAAAUAAAGGAAAGAAAAGCAGGAAGAAGCGCGCGGCUCCUGGGGCAGCGGCGAGGCGCGGCGAGUCGGCUACCGCGCAGCCCCGUUCCUUCUCCGACGGCCCCACAACGAC
ensembl:lncRNA